rnacentral:lncRNA from 1 species
GGAAUUCAUCGCUCUAAUAGCAACAUGGGAGAAAGAGGAGAGAGAAGCUGGACCAGGAGCGGGGAGACUAGGCAAGUGAUGAUAGGACCCUGGACUGAGGGAAUAGCAGCAGAGGAAGAGAGAUGGGAACAGAUACGAUAUGUGGUAAAGAGAGAGAAACACGGUCCUGAUGCCUGGAUGAAGGGUAAAAGAAAGAAAAGAGGCAGGAAGACUCCCAAGUCAGGAAGCCUCAGAAGUCGCCUGGGAGGGUGGAUGUUGGUACUGUCCCUGGACAUGGGGACAGGUUUUGCAGAGAUGAACAAACAGUUUGAGGCACCUGCAAGACCCUGGCUGGAUGUAUAUAGGUCUAGAUGCAGGUGAGAGUCUGGGCCAGAAAUAGAUUCUAGAGGCAUCUAUAUCUAAGAGGUCCACUUACAUGAUAGCUUGAAGACGGCCUAAUGCUUUGGACUCUUAGACUCUUAGACUCUCAUUUUAAUUAUUAUAUUGCUGGAGUCACUCUCUCAUUUCCAUUAUUUCAAAUUGUUCAUCCCAUAAAGGAACAUUGCCAGCAGUGGAUAAUCACAGCGCUGCAAUGGCUAAUGCUGCAUUAUGUCCCCUGGGGAGUUUGAAAAUGUAAAGUCCUGGAUCCCACCCCCAGAGACUGAUCAGUACGCAAGAGGCCUCGUCUCCAUGGUGGAGUCACAGGAGAGAAGCAGCCUGUGUCCCUGAGUCCCUGCUGGAAAGGAGAUUCCCUGGAGGACACUCAGAGCCACAGUGGACUUUGCAUGAGUGAGAAAUAAACCUUUCAGUGUUAAAUCACUGAGCUUUUAGGGUGUGUCUGUUACUGAAGGCUAGUCUAGCCAAUCCUAACCAAUACAGCCAGCCUUCUGUGUAUCCCAGAAACCAGCUUUAUAAACAUGCACUGUUGGUGAUUCUGGUGCAGUGGCCCGCUGACCACACUUAGUGACCCAGUGUCCUUUGUUCAGAAAUGAGGAUGGGCAUGUCGCUGAAGGAAGCAUGAUCCGUCAGUGUAACUAAUGUGUUGAUCACAGUUUGUGAGCAUCUGCCGUGUGCC